AAUUGUUUGUUUUGUUGAUUUCAACAGCCGCGAUACAAAUUAUUUGAUAAAAUUUGUUUUUACGAAAAACGAAAUCUUAUCGACGGCCUAAUCAAUUACUCAUCGCGAUUACCUGAAAAAAAAGAGCUUGUGUUUGUUUUUCGAUUUAUUUGAACGGUGUGUGUGUGGCAAUAUAUAGUUCAUUGUUCAGUCGGUGAUAGAGACAUUUGUCGGACGCAUAUAUAACGAAGUGAAUAACGAUUACAAGCGCACAGUUACCCAUUUACAUUCAUUUCAAAGUCGUUUAAAAUGAAAAGCAACGACUUACUUUCUCACAAUCAACGAAAAUAAUGAUGACAACAAUCAAAAUCUUAUCUUAAAUAACAUAAUGUAUACACGCAAAAUCGCCCGCAGCCAAAGCGCUCAGCCAAAACUGGAAUACCGAAGAUGAGCGAUAAGAAAGAGCGGCACAGAACUCGCGUGACAUACACACAGAAAAAUGCAGAUGAGAACCAAUGUGUUUCGAGUCGUUCGAUUUUAUUCAUUUACAAUGUGAUGCUAAUUAAUGCGACAUUGUGAAUUCUAGAACCGCCACACAGACGCGACUCAUUUAACCCUCUAAUGCAUACAACCGCCUCUAGACGGGCAAUAUUUGAACGCCUGUAGAACGUAAACCGUACAUCGGAUCGCAUUGAUUCAAAACGAAUUUUUAUUCGUCAAUGUUCUCUCUUUAUUUUUGUCUUUGGCAAUAUUUGUCUAUGUAGUGUGAUUCUAAAGUUAUAAACAAAAAUGUGUGCAAAAACAAAAAUUUGACAAAAUAAAUUAUUCGAACUCUAAAUUAGACACAUUUUUGAUACUUUUAAACAAUGGAUUUGAUUGUUCUAUGAUUUAUGUCAAUCGCAUUUUCUGACUUAACCAUGAGGAAUCCAGGAUUAUGAAUAUUUUUUUAAAUUAUCUAUGGCCAAAAAUCAACCAAGUACCAGUACUCCCAGCCCUGGGUAAAAUUAAUGCAGAGGGUUAAAUAAUAUGAUGCCAGAAAGUUCAUAUCCAAACAAUGAUUACUCUAUGGAACAAACAAAUUGAAUUUCAACCAAAAUUCCGAAUCGAAUGAGGAUUCUGUUUUUUUUCCUUUUCGGUAUUUUGAAACGAGAGAAAAAAUUGCAUAUUUUUUUCAAUUUUCUCUCACUGUCUGUUUACCAGCCAACGACAACAACCGAAAAAAUAACAAAUGUAAAUCUCAUACGAAAAUAAAUCUCCCGACCACGAAGUCGUAAUCUCUCUCGAAUCGCUGUUGGUCUCUUCGUUUUCGUUUCUGGUGAUAUUUUUUUUCCGUUUUUUUUUUUUGUUUUUAUCUCUGAGGAAAAUUAUUUAUUCCAAUAUUUUGCACACACAUCCAACAAACAACGAGAGGCUCGAUGACAUUUUUAUCAACUGUAAUCAGCAUCAGUGGCAGCUUAUUGUUUCAAUGAAUGCGCCCAGCAUUUUUUUCCAUAUAUUUUUUUUUGAUUGGCACCGCCAUGCCGUUGUCAUGUCUGUGUAGCUCUGUGACAAAAGGAAGCAAACAGAAAUCAUAUUAAAAUUCACACAAUAAAAUGCGGUAACGCGUUUCUUCGGAUGGUGCUCGUUUUUUCAUUCUCUCGUCCGUCUUCGUCGCAAUUAGUUUUGUUGGUGUGAGUGUGUGGAGUUUUAGCUUUGUUAAUUCUCUCGUCUUUUUUUCUGCUUGCAAAGAGAUGUUUGCCUUGUAUAAUAAAACGAAAAAGACGGAAAAAAAUUAACUUGUGAAUUUGGUUUUGCUGUUGAAUCUCAAAUGUUAUGUGAAUCUGGUCGGUUGACGUCGUCGUUGUCGCCGCUGUUCAUUAUCUUCCUUUUGGUUAUUUCAUCAUCGUGAUAUUAAUAAAUGGCCAAAGACUGGUAUCACCUUAGGACAAUUCAACAUUUGACAUUUUUCUUCAGCUAUUUUAUCUGCUUGCGAUCGAAACUGUGAUGCUGUUUAACACGCUGCUACCAUACACCGGAGCAGCAUUGGCGUUAGAAAGACCCCGUCAUGAUGUUACAAUUUCACAGCUGGGCGUAUUUAUGCGAUGAAAAAUAAAUCGAUCAAAACUAAUUAUUUCUUUUUUUUUCCCUUUCGAUGCUGAAAAACGACGAAGAAUUUAUGCUUUGCGAUCGAUUUUUCUCGUUUGUUUACAAAUCAUUGGGCACGAAUCGCCUCAUUCGAACGUGAUUCUGAGAAAGUCCAAUAACAAUGGCUUUGCCAUUCGUCACAAUAGCUUUUUUUCUCUCUCUCUCUAAGCUCUAAGUAUCGUUUGACGGCUCUGAUAUUUUUCCAUCGAUUCGUUUUGCAGCAGCUUCCCUCUUUAUUUUAGCAAAUACAGUCCGAUUAUCCUACUAGUUUGAGAGCAGCACGAAGUGGCAAAUCUAGGCAUGUACUUUGUUAUGCAGUACACAGAAAAAAAACGUGUUCUUCACACUCAAUCCGCACUUCGACUUCCUCCGGCGAUAAUAAAUCGUAGUGGUGUCUAUAAGCGAUGCGAUCCGAUGCAAUGCACACAGUUCGUUAAACCAUUCUUAACUAAAACUACAAAUUACGACUUGAGAUGCGGCAUGCAACCGAACGAGCUGUUCGCGUUAUCACGACAAAACACCAAAACACAAAGUGCAUUUCAACUUCAUUAAAAGCACUUUUUUAUGUUUCACUUUUCAUUUCAAUAUUUCCACUGACACUAGUGAGUCACACAGGCACAGCGCGAGAGCUGCUGUGCUGAGACGGCUAAAGAAUGUGCGUAGAAAGCAUUUUUUUAUUGCAUCUGCUGUGCAUGUACUUCCAACCGCUUUUUCUUUUUCACUCUGAAUAAACAAACAAACAGCAGUAGCGUAAAGUAUUCAUAGCCUCCAUUGACUUGACUCCUAAAAAUAAACGUGUAAUAUUUUUAAUAUUCAAAUUUUGCCAUAAAAACUUCGUUGGCUGAUGAAGUAUUAACCAUAUUUCCCUACUCCGGCCGAGAGUUCUGCAACUGUGCUACACUUUGUUUUUCAUCCAUGGUCAAAUCAGAAAGAAAGAACAUUCACAUCCACUCCAUUUGGAAAUGCUUUUAUAUAUAGCCAAAGUGAAUUCCAGUAGGGAUCGCGCCUCUUAAGAACAUCACGCUAGAAAACGACGUAAUCAUUUUAAAAAUACGAAUUGCUGCCGAUGUAUUAACUGGGAUGAAUAAACAUAUCUUCAAAUGAUCGUGAUUUAUUUGAAAAUCAUUAUCGUUUUUUCGCUCUCUCUCUGUCUUCAUUCCGUUUUUUUUUUGUUUACAUUAUAUUCAAAGUAUUUGUUUUAUUAUUGAACCUCUUCAUUUCGAGUGUCAUUUUUAUGAAAUUUUUACGCUGUUCAGCUGUUACCGAAGAUUAAAAGUCAUAGACAAACAUUUCCAACAGUCAAACUUUUAAUUGCCAUUCGUAUCAUUAAAAGUAUUGAGACUGGUUUUUGAGCUGUUUUAUUUUAUUGCCACACAUAUGACACACUUCGUACUUCGUUCAACAAGUGACACAACUCUUUCAACCUGAAACCUAAAUUAAUGCACUGAAUCGAGUGCGUUUUUUUUUCGGGGCGGGGUAAAUUUGCGUGUUUACUCAUUGUUAUUUAAAUAUUAUUUCGCACAGUGCGUGUUGUCAUCAAUAAAAGUUAAGUGAAAGAGAAAAAAAAA